AUGGUGAGGCAUCGCCUCCUCGCCGUGCUCCUCAUCGGGGUAGUUGCAGCCUCUGCCUUCAACCAAGCAGCUGCCGCUGGCCGAGGCCUUGCCGCCAUCGAGAAGUUUGCAGAGCUAGAGCCAAAGCCAGAAACCAAACCAGAGCCAAUGCCCAAACCGAUGCCCAAACCCAAACCAAAGCCCGAACCAAAACCCGGACAAAAGCCCAAGCCCAAGCCGAUGCCAAAACCAAAGCCCAAGCCCUGCUCCAAACCAAAGCCACUUCCUAAGCCCGAGCCAAUGCCGAAACCCGAACCAAAGCCGGAGCCCAAGCCUAAUGAACCGAAACCGAAGCCGCCUCCUAAGUGCAAACCACCGACGGCUCACAAUUGA
rnacentral:rRNA from 1 species